rnacentral:rRNA from 1 species
CGGAAAGGCCCCUUCGGGGGUACUCGAGUGGCGAACGGGUGAGUAACACGUGGGUAAUCUGCCCUGCACUUCGGGAUAAGCCUGGGAAACUGGGUCUAAUACCGGAUAUGACCACGAGGCGCAUGCCUUGUGGUGGAAAGCUUUUGCGGUGUGGGAUGGGCCCGCGGCCUAUCAGCUUGUUGGUGGGGUGACGGCCUACCAAGGCGACGACGGGUAGCCGGCCUGAGAGGGUGUCCGGCCACACUGGGACUGAGAUACGGCCCAGACUCCUACGGGAGGNCAGCAGUGGGGAAUAUUGCACAAUGGGCGCAAGCCUGAUGCAGCGACGCCGCGUGGGGGAUGACGGCCUUCGGGUUGUAAACCUCUUUCAGCAGGGACGAAGCGCAAGUGACGGUACCUGCAGAAGAAGCACCGGCCAACUACGUGCCAGCAGCCGCGGUAAUACGUAGGGUGCGAGCGUUGUCCGGAAUUACUGGGCGUAAAGAGCUCGUAGGUGGUUUGUCGCGUUGUUCGUGAAAACCGGGGGCUUAACCCUCGGCGUGCGGGCGAUACGGGCAGACUGGAGUACUGCAGGGGAGACUGGAAUUCCUGGUGAGCGGU